AGCACGACUUCCUCCAAGCAGGGGCUGCCCCCGGCACCGGGAAGGUGGAGCUGAGCAGUGAUUCUAAACGACCAACAAAUGCUUUUAUGAGCCCCUUUGGUGGGUUGCUCUGGCGAUGGGCUCUGCUCCCUGAGACCCACUUCUCUGCCUGUGUUCAAUAUGGGCCGCUCAGCACUCUGCCAGGGGAAACCGUCAAGUAAGGUUGUCUCCUGCAAGUUCUGGAUUCAGAGCCAAGACGAAGAGAAUUAAGUAGCAGGUGGUGGGAACCAGUUCCUGAGAAACACUGGCUGCCUUAAACACCGCUGACCACAGGAUGUCACCAGUGUUCCAUGGAAAUUCUACCGAAAGGGCAUUUACCUGAGAGAGCCCUGGCUUCAUCGCGUGAAACCGAAGCAGAUCUGGGCCUCGGCUGUCCUUGACGAAGAUGUGGCACCUACAAGCAAACCAGUAAACUUAACAGCCCAGAGCCGCUAUUUAAUUGGCCCUGAAGAGAAGUCACCCUGAGGUGGAGUUAAUAACCAGUGCCAGAUCUUUUUUCCUUCCCUUACUUUAAUUUUCUUUGAAAGCUUCCUGCACGAGCCAUGUGGUGACCAAUAGCUAAUGGAAUUACGUGCUACUCAGGUGAGGGGAGCCCGGCCUGCCGCGGUCCAUGGGAUCACAAAAGAGCUGGGCACUACCGAGUGAGCACCCUGAAGUCACUAGGGUGGGCUCUCAUCCAACGUGGCUGAUGUCCUUAUAGGAAGAGGCAGGGACGCAGACAGGCCCAGAGGGACAACCCUGUGGAGACACAGGGAGAAGACGGCUUAGGAGAACCAGCUCUGUCUGCACCUGGUCUGGGACUCUUGGCCUUCAGAAGGGUGAAGACACACGUUUCUGUGGUUUAAGCCCCCCAGUCUGUGGUAACGUGUCAUGGCGGCUCUAGUAAAUCAAUAUUGCUGUUGUUCAGCCACUCAGUUGAAUACAAUACCCUGUGGACUGCAGCCUGCCAGGCUCCUCUGUCCAUGGGGUUCCCCAGGCAAGAAUACUGGAGUGGACUGCCACUUCCUUCGCCAGGGGAUCUUCCCGACCCAGGGAUCGGACCUGUGUCCCCUGCAUUGGCAGGCAGAUUCUUUACUGCUGCACCACCAGGGAAGCCCCAGCAAAGGGACUAAGAUACCUCAGUUUGGCAGUACUUGCUGCGUAAUUCUGAUAAUGGGCUCUUUGGUUAAAUCCAGCUGCUGUCGUCAUCACAAUGGCCCACACCAGCUGAGGACUCUGCGGGUGCUGGGUAUAGUUACUAAGGGGUCUGCACACAUCGGUUGUGUACCCACCAUGAGGGUGUCACCCCUAGUCUUCAGAUGAGAACACUGAGGGCAUGUUCACAUCCACAGGUGGUCCGUUCCGAAUGACCUGACCCCCACCAGUUCCUGUGAGUUGCUCUGAAUAGAUGCUUUAGGAUCCUGAGAUGUCCCACACACAGAGGCUCAGUCCGUGUGGUUGGGCACUGGAUUCCCAGGUUGAGGUUCAGUCUUUCUGGAAGCGCUCUUCCACACACCUGCGUGUGAUAAGAGAUCUGGGCAGGAGGAGGACUCCUGAAGCCUCCGAAGGAAGGAAAUUAUUACAGGGCCCUACAGAAGUAGGUCAUGUGCGACAGCUGCUCAUAGUUUAAGAGGAAGAAAACAGGGGACCUCAAACCUGGAGCACAACUCUUUCAAAAUGCUUGUGAGCAGCCCAAGAAAAACAUCCUUCCGAGGCUUAUCUAAUAACCAGCCUCUAUAAUCGUCUCAAUGUGCGCGCGGGGGUCCUGGAGUUUGCACCUACUUCCCGGGGCUGCCGAGAUGCUGAAACAGAACACAGCAGCAUUUAGCGAAGGGGAUUUAAUAGUUUGUGUUAGAGCUAAUAUGGCCCAUUAGGGGCUGUCGUUUUUAUAAACAACAAAGACACGUUACCCUCUUCUUGGGUGUGAAGUUGCUCUGUGCGGGACCCCACAAACAUCCAGUAACGAUCUGUUGAGCACGCAGGAAAGACAAUUAAGGCACCGCUGGAAAAAGGUCUGUUUUCCUCACGUAUUUGGUUUCUUGCUAAGUAAACUCAUAAAGAUCAUACUUGUGGAAGCGUAUGCUUACAUUAUAAAAAAU
ensembl:lncRNA